GACGUAGGGCGCGAGCGUUGUUCGGAUUUACUGGGCGUAAAGGGCGCGUAGGCGGCGCGGUAAGUCACUUGUGAAAUCUCUGAGCUUAACUCAGAACGGCCAAGUGAUACUGCAGUGCUAGAGUGCAGAAGGGGCAAUCGGAAUUCUUGGUGUAGCGGUGAAAUGCGUAGAUAUCAAGAGGAACACCUGAGGUGAAGACGGGUUGCUGGGCUGACACUGACGCUGAGGCGCGAAAGCCAGGGGAGCAAACGGG
rnacentral:rRNA from 1 species